rnacentral:lncRNA from 1 species
GCCGGAAAGUACUGUAGCUGCCGGAAAAGUCAAUAAAGUCGCCGGAAAAAACUGAAAGUUGUCGGAAUCGAACGGAAAAAGUAUGGGUAGGGUUGGAAUUGAUAGCCGACCAAUCCGUCCUGAAGAAACAAACUGAAAAAGUGGACGGAACUGCCCUCACGCGCCGGCGCGUGGGCUUCACGCACCGAGGGUUCUGCCGGCGCGUGGGGGCGCGUGAGCAGUGCUUUGCCGGUGAUUUUUUUUGGGGUUGGUCGGAAUUCUCUCCCGAACCUCGUGGUGGUCUCGGAUUUUGCACAACACCAACAGAAAAGGUAGUUUAGUUCGGACAGCCUCUUAAGUCGCCGGAAAAUUGCACGGCGACGAGGUCUUUCUUCCCGGAAUUAGCUGGAAUGACGCACAGCUAUAAUAUUCUCACCAAGCCUCUGAUACCAUGUGAGAAAGCACGGGAGAAAAAUAUAUAAUUGAUAUUAAACAUGAUACAAUGAGCCCUAUAUAUAAUACACAUAACGUAGAGUUCUACUAUAACUAGAGUUCUACUAUAUUUACAUAUCUAACA